rnacentral:rRNA from 1 species
CAGUCGCCGCGGUAAUACGAAGGGUGCAAGCGUUAAUCGGAAUUACUGGGCGUAAAGCAUGCGUAGGCGGUUUGUUAAGUCUGCUGUGAAAUCCCCGGGCUCAACCUGGGAAUGGCAGUGGACACUGGGUCACUAGAGUGUGGUAGAGGAUAGUGGAAUUUCCGGUGUAGCAGUGAAAUGCGUAGAGAUCGGAAGGAACAUCUGUGGCGAAGGCGACUAUCUGGGCCAACACUGACACUGAGGCACGAAAGCGUGGGGAGCAAACAGGAUUAGAUACCCCUGUAGUCCCUGUCUCUUAUAC